ensembl:misc_RNA 7SK 7SK RNA
UGUGGGUGAUUGGUCUGUGAUGUCUGUUACACCACUGAUCACCAGGAUCCGUGUGGCACAUCUGGCUAGUCAAGUGGGUGGCCCCUUACCUCCCACG